GUACACUCCUGCGGGAGGCAGCAGUGGGGAAUUUUGGACAAUGGGCGAAAGCCUGAUCCAGCAAUGCCGCGUGAGUGAAGAAGGCCUUCGGGUUGUAAAGCUCUUUUGUCAGGGAAGAAACGGUGAGAGCUAAUAUCUCUUGCUAAUGACGGUACCUGCAGAAUAAGCACCGGCUAACUACGUGCCAGCAGCCGCGGUAAUACGUAGGGUGCAAGCGUUAAUCGGAAUUACUGGGCGUAAAGCGUGCGCAGGCGGUUUUGUAAGUCUGAUGUGAAAUCCCCGGGCUCAACCUGGGAAUUGCAUUGGAGACUGCAAGGCUAGAAUCUGGCAGAGGGGGGUAGAAUUCCACGUGUAGCAGUGAAAUGCGUAGAUAUGUGGAGGAACACCGAUGGCGAAGGCAGCCCCCUGGGUAAAGAUUGACGCUCAUGCACGAAAGCGUGGGGAGCAAACAGGAUUAGAACCCCGAGUAGUCCCA
rnacentral:rRNA from 1 species